GAUCAUGGCUCAGGAUGAACGCUGGCGGCGUGCCUAACACAUGCAAGUCGAGCGAUUCUCUUCGGAGAAGAGCGGCGGACGGGUGAGUAACGCGUGGGUAACCUGCCCUGUACACACGGAUAACAUACCGAAAGGUAUGCUAAUACGAGAUAACAUAAGAAAUUCGCAUGUUUUUCUUAUCAAAGCUCCGGCGGUACAGGGAUGGACCCGCGUCUGAUUAGCUAGUUGGUGAGGUAAUGG
rnacentral:rRNA from 1 species